ACUGCAUGCUACUCUCUAGAGAUUGUCUCUCAACUGACCUAGAACUUCCAUAGCCAUCUGAUCACCAAGACCGCCUCUGAGAGGAAAGUUCUGAGAGUCUCACCUUGCUCGCAUCAAAACAGUUCCUAUUUAUCCUUUUUCCUGGAUCUGUGAUAUUCUGGACUGUUUCUGUGUUCAGUUGUGGCCAAGUGUUACAGAUAUACCUCUAUUUUCCACAAGAACAGCAAGCAAAAGAGAAGACAGGGAGGCACUCAGAGGAUGGGGAUUCUCCAAAGGUGAAAUGCAAGCUUAAGCAGUUUAAAUGUGUUGAUUUCAAAUGGGAUAUGAGCAGCAACUGCAAAUUAUAAAUCAUCCUGGUUAGCCUACUGAGAUCAGUGAGGAGAAGAGAAUGGGAGGAUCAGAACACAAAUGAAGUCACUGAUUACUUGGUUGCAGCCAAGAUGCAAAAAGGAAUAAGAUGUGCUUCUCUGCUCAGAAAAUUCAUAGUCCAUUGGGAGAAUGGGGUCUUCCUGGAUCAUUUCAGAACAACGUGGAAAACAAUGCAAUUAAAGAAUGUGUGUACAUAGUUUCAUAGAACCACAGACAAGGGCACCCAGCCUAUCUGGGGUGGGUGCAGAAUACAGAAUUUGAAAAUUAUCCAGUGGAAGUGAUUACUAAGAUGACUCAAAAACAGGACUGACGCAGGCAUGAACAGGGAGAUAUGAGCAUUCUGGAUGGUAUUGCAUAUGGAGGGAGAAAUUCUACUUUGGAACACUGACGUCAAGGCCAGUUGGGUGAGAGAUGGGGUUGGGGCAGUCAUCAAGUGCCAGACCACACGAGGAUGAAAUGCCUUGUUAAGGCAUCUGGCCUUUACCUUGUUGGCAGAAGGAAACCAUUGCUGAGUCUUAAAUAGUAGAAUGACAUGGUCAGGUAUGCCUUUCAGAUAACUCUCUGACAUGGCCUUGUAGAAAAUUGAUUGGAGAAGACAAGAAGAUGACAGGAGGGAAUGAGCCAUAGAAAGGCAGAUUUCCUUGGAAGAAAGAAAUCUUCUUCCAAAGAAGACUUCCAUAGGGUACUGUUACAGUAACCCAGACAGGAGAUGUUAAGGUCUGAACCUGGGUAUUAGUAGUUAGGGAGGAAAUAAAAUUGAGAAAUAUUACACUAUGUAAUUAGAGGGCACACCAAAUGGUUGAGUGGGAGGUGUCAAAGAGAGGUGGAUCAGAGUUGUCUUAGUUCAGCUACUAUAACAAAUUUCCAAAGACUGAAUGGCUUAAAAAAUAAUUUAUGUCUCACAAUUCUGGAGGACAGGAAGUCCAAGGUCAAGGCUCCAGCAGAUUUGGUCUCCUGUGAGGGCCUGCUUCCUGGUUUGCAAAUUGUUUUGUGGCUAUCUUCUCAUUGUAUCUUCACAUAGUGGAGGGCAGACAGAGAGAUCUCCUGCCACCUUCUCUUUUUAAAGGGUACUAAUCCCAUUAUGAGGUCCCCACUGUCAUGACCACAUCUAACGCUAAUUGCUUAUCAAAGGCCCUACCUUCAAACACCAUUAUAUUGGGGGUUAGGAUUUCAACAUAUCAGUUUGGAGAAGACACAAAUAUUUCGUGCAUAACAAGGGACAAUUUUCAUGUAUGUACAAAGGUCUUCCUUGGUAAGACCUUUCCUGACCACUCCACUAAAACUACAAAUCAUCCUUACCAGCAUCCCCUAUCCCUUCUCUUCCAUCUUUCUCUAGUGCUUAUAUAAUUUCAUUAUUAGCUAUCUGUCUUCACUACAAUAUGUGAGAUUCUUUAUGGCAGGGAUUUUGUCUCUUUUGUUCACUGCUGCAUCACAAUACCUGCAGCAGUGCCUGGCACCUACUAUGUACUCAAUAAGUAUCUGCUCAGUGAAUGAAUGCCUGAUGGUGGUGCUGAGAAAAACUGAGAAAAAAAUGCAGGAAGAAGAGCAAGUUUAGAGAAAAUGAUGCUGGGUUCACUUUUGCACUUUCUUUAGCACUCCAGGGAAAAAUAAAGCUAUGCAGAGACUCAGAAUGUUGGAUAUGACAGAGGCCCUAGAGACCAUUUGUUUUAGUCCAUUUAUGUUGCUAUAAAGGAAUACCUGAGGCUGGGUAAUUUAUAAA